GGGUUUGUAGCUCAACAGGCAGAGCAGCCGCCUUCCCCUCCAGGCCGACCCGGGUUCGAGUCCCGGCAAACCCA
rnacentral:tRNA from 1 species